AUGGGGGUUGGGGGGGGGGCCUAUACAUGGCAGUCGAACGCUUUGUGGUUCAACUGAUUUGAAGAGCUUGCUCAGAUAUGACGAUGGACAUUGCAAAGAGUGGCGAACGGGUGAGUAACACGUGGGAAACCUACCUCUUAGCAGGGGAUAACAUUUGGAAACAGAUGCUAAUACCGUAUAACAAUAGCAACCGCAUGGUUGCUACUUAAAAGAUGGUUCUGCUAUCACUAAGAGAUGGUCCCGCGGUGCAUUAGUUAGUUGGUGAGGUAAUGGCUCACCAAGACGAUGAUGCAUAGCCGAGUUGAGAGACUGAUCGGCCACAAUGGGACUGAGACACGGCCCAUACUCCUACGGGAGGCAGCAGUAGGGAAUCUUCCACAAUGGGCGAAAGCCUGAUGGAGCAACGCCGCGUGUGUGAUGAAGGGUUUCGGCUCGUAAAACACUGUUGUAAGAGAAGAAUGACAUUGAGAGUAACUGUUCAAUGUGUGACGGUAUCUUACCAGAAAGGAACGGCUAAAUACGUGCCAGCAGCCGCGGUAAUACGUAUGUUCCAAGCGUUAUCCGGAUUUAUUGGGCGUAAAGCGAGCGCAGACGGUUAUUUAAGUCUGAAGUGAAAGCCCUCAGCUCAACUGAGGAAUUGCUUUGGAAACUGGAUGACUUGAGUGCAGUAGAGGAAAGUGGAACUCCAUGUGUAGCGGUGAAAUGCGUAGAUAUAUGGAAGAACACCAGUGGCGAAGGCGGCUUUCUGGACUGUAACUGACGUUGAGGCUCGAAAGUGUGGGUAGCAAACAGGAUUAGAUACCCUGGUAGUCCACACCGUAAACGAUGAGUGCUAGGUGUUUGAGGGUUUCCGCCCUUAAGUGCCGCAGCUAACGCAUUAAGCACUCCGCCUGGGGAGUACGACCGCAAGGUUGAAACUCAAAGGAAUUGACGGGGACUCGCACAAGCGGUGGAGCAUGUGGUUUAAUUCGAAGCAACGCGAAGAACCUUACCAGGUCUUGACAUCCCUUGACAACUCCAGAGAUGGAGCGUUCCCUUCGGGGACAGGUGACAGUGUGCAUGAUGUCGUCAGCUCGUGUCGUGAGAUGUUGGGUUAAGUCCCGCAACGAGCGCAACCCUUAUUACUAGGUUGCCAGCAUUUCAGUUGGGCA
rnacentral:rRNA from 1 species